rnacentral:ncRNA from 1 species
UCGAAUAUAAGGUGAGCGGGACACAGCGAUGGCAGGUGGAGGAAGCCGGUGCGAGACCGGCGCGGUCCCGCCACUGUCACCCGGGCCGCCGCGCGGACCCGGGGAGCCAGGAACUCCGGCCGUCGCCCACCGAC